UCCAACUGGCCUCAAUCGCCCGUCGCGGUCGGGAGGGCGCUCUAGACGCGUUGGCGCCAGCGGGCUGCUGCGGGCAGCACUGGGACUUCGCGCCCCAGUCUGCAGAGCGCGGUGGCUCUGUGUGGGCGGGGCCGUACACCCGCGGUCCCCUCUCCAGGCGGGACGAGUCUGUGCCAACGGGUUACUUUGAGAAGUGGCGGUUCUAGGUUCUGGUGUGAGACUCCUUAUUUGGGCAGUGUAUUUGGAUGGCUCAGAAAUGGGCGCCGCUCCACUUAACCCUGAGUUCUCUGUCUGGAAAGGUGAAGACACUUGAACUGAAGUUCGGUUAUGUGAAUUUUAAAUUUGCUGAUGACCAGGGAAGAUCCUUGAGACUUAGUGAGACAAACAUCCUUGGGUAUGAAAUUAAAUUGGGAAAACCGAAAAGAAAGGAUGUAAGAAAGGACUCAUUCCCUGGCUACCUGCAGCCCAUCCAUAGAAUCUCAGUUUAAGGAUCACUUCCCCAGGAUCAGAAAAACUUUCCCUUACUUCCAGACUAGGUUUGAAUCCUGCAUGUGUGUCACUAAUUCGGAAGAUGAAAGGACUAAAUAUUGACUCUUCGUUCUUCUCUCCCCCACACCAUCUCUACAACUGCAGGAUUGCAUAUGUUGAUUUCAAGUCACAGGCUGAUGCAGAAAGAACCUUGGACUAGAAACAAGGAGCAGAGGCUUCCCAGCAGACAGUGAGCGGCUGCAGCUGCAGACAAGCACGAUCAGGAGCCCCAAGAAGGCGAGGAAAGGCCCAGCAAAGGGGAGGGCCCAGCACACUUCUGAGAAAUAGCAGUGAUGGUGAUCCCCGAGGCAGUAUGAGUUCUGCCAACAGCACGACAAUUUUGGGGCCAAGUGCAAAAUGAAAAUGCAGGGCUCCCAUUCAACAGUUGUUAAGGAUUUCAAAACAGCAACAGCAGAGCAUGGAACCAAUCCCAGUGCCCUUCAAAGUAUGGGUCACACACCCAUGGAGCUGGCCCUGCUGGCGCCUGAAAGUCCGGGUUUCCAAGAAAACACAGCAGCUAUAGGAUGUGCUGGAGAAACCAGCCUCUGUCUCUACCAAGAACAGCCUCAAGGCUUGGCCAGAAGCAGGAUGUGUCUUCGUGCUGCCACCUGCUGUCCAUAUCAUGCCACUGCACCUCCCUUCACAGAGCUGAACUUUGGAGGGUGGGAACAGCGGCUCUGGUGACCAGGUGACCUAGACCUUCCUUUCACUGAAGAGAAAACAUCCCUAGUCUGGCAUUCUGCCCAAGGUCACACUAGCCACAGCACCCAAGUGAUGAUGGUAGCAUUUAACUGUUAAAUUUAAGCCUCAGUUCUUUAAAAUCCCACAAAGUAGAGAUGAUACCCUUCAUCGAUUAGUAAAUGAAAGUAAGAAUUUGAGUUUUCGGCUACUGUGGUUGUCUCCCAUGACCCUUCUCUGUUGUCUUAGUCCCCUGAUCACUUUUGAGGGUACCCACUGGCCCAAGCACACACAGAUUGGUAUCGUCCCAUUACAGGGCCACAGGGUGGACCUCCAAUCCCAGGCCGGUGAAGAUGACAUUUUUUGGCUAGGGCUGCUGGAAAAAAUGUUUUCUAGUGCCUUCUGGACCCUAGGGUGUAUAGACACAAGGUUCAUUGCUUGACUGCUACAAAAGACAUUUUGCCACCAUGAUUAAAGGUACCACCAUGAUGAAAGCUGACAUGGAAAGCUGAUAGGAAAAGAAAGACAAAAAAAGCAGAUACAGAAUGCCAUUUCUGAGCUGCUGGAUCAAGCCAGUCCUGAAGUACUGAGAGUCGGGGUACCCAGGACUUUAUUGUGCUGAGAGCCAAUGAAUCCCUUGGAUAUUUAAACAAUUUUGAGCAGCUGCUUGCAAUGAAAGUUGUCUAAUCCCUAUCUGCUUCUCCAGCCCCAUCUCCUGUAGGUUCUCUUCCUCUCCUCUUGAUCAGGAGUCUUCAAGCCCCUCAGUCUCCCUUGAGUCCUCAGCACGGCACCAGUCCUCUCUCUCUUGGGCCUUUGUUCAUGCUAUUUCCAGUCCAGGGCACUCUCUCCUCACCCACCUGGCUGAUAGAUCCCACAAGCCCUUAAGGUCUCAGUCUAGAUGACAUCUCCUCAAAGAGGCUCUUCCUAACUCUAAAUUAUUCCAGAAACAUUUGUUGAGCUCCCACUCUGCCAGGCACCAAGCUAGGCCCAGCACCCCGUGGGAGCUCUGGAGAUGCUGGUGAUCUCAGCGGAGGCAACAUGAAUCAAAGGCUCAUGCACAUGUCCCCAGACAAAGAGGAACCAGACCUGAACCAGGAAACAAGAGUGUGGCUAGGUGAGUCUGGAGAUUUCACAGAAAGCCGGUGGGGCUGGAGAGCAGAGUUGGGGGGCUGAGAGUAGAUUUUACUGUCAUGGGAGUGUCAACGUGGUGAGGAGCGUUAGGAUUCUAGAUAUAUUGUGAAGGGAGUCAACAGGACUUCCACGUUUGCCAAGCUCCCUUCUGGCUUAGCUCCCAUUGUUGGUUGGCAAACAAUACAGUCCUGCUCCAGUGAGAGCUGCAGUUCUUGAAGGUUCAUGUAUUUUUUUUUUUUUAAGAUUUUAUUUAUUUAUUUGAGAGAGAAAGCUUGAGAGCAC